UACGGAGGGUGCAAACGUUGCUCGGAAUCAUUGGGCGUAAAGCGAACGUAGGCGGCUAUGUAAGUCGGGUGUGAAAGCCCUCGGCUCAACCGAGGAAGUGCAUUCGAAACUGCAUGGCUUGAGUGUCGGAGAGGAUAGCGGAAUUCCCGGUGUAGAGGUGAAAUUCGUAGAUAUCGGGAGGAACACCCGUGGUGUAGACGGCCUGCUGGACGGCAACUGACGCUGAGGCACGAAAGCGUGGGGAGCAAACAGG
rnacentral:rRNA from 1 species